CGGCACUUAGCUCAGCUUGGUAGAGCACAUGCUUUGGGAGCAUGGGGUCGGAGGUUCGAAUCCUCCAGUGCCGACCA
rnacentral:tRNA from 1 species